CCGUGACACCGUCUUCCUUCAACUCAAGCAGUAUACACUUGGCCGCUAGGAAAGCACGUUCGCAGCUAAAAAAAAAAAAGAGAAAAAAGUUUUCCUCUGAGCAUUUCCUAAUCACAGACAACAACUUCUCUCUCUCAAUUUGCGGAUGUAUUAUUUGAAAUAUUUGAAUGAUUUUCUCUUCAUCAACAGAGUUCAGCUCAUUUAGCUGAAAAUAAGAGAAAAAUAGUAUGCCCUGCACUAGCACCUGUCAACAUUUCGUCGCUAACUUGGGACUACAUCUCUCUUUCGGUCGGGUAGUAAAGACGGAAGGUAGGUCUCAAAUUAUUAAACGCCGGUACCUACCCAUUUAAUGUUGAUAAGGUCCAAGCGAAUGGCGAAUAUGCCGAGAUGCAGUAAGCAGUGUCGAGUCUCAAAUAGAAACUUUCGCCUUAAGAAUUCACUAAGCAACAAUGAGUCACAUUGGUCUCACGUAAAAGUAUCAAGUUUCGGAUCAGCUAUUUAGCAGGUCACAAGUAUCAAACCAAAUGAUUUAUUUGCUGCGUUGACGUAAUUAUCGUAUAAAACAAAACAAUGGAAGAGCAACUUUCAGCUUUUUUUACUAAUUUUGCUUGAAAUCGUUCGCGAAACAUCCCUAGACACAAUUUGGCCAGCCUUCGGACCAUGGAAGAUACAUUUUCGUUCGAAGGGGAAGUUCUAAGAAGCUUCAAGAAGUAAAACUUCAUGUCAAUCGUUUCAGGCAAACCGUAAUUCCAUUUGAGCUUCGCAAAAGUUAAAUUCUAACAUUUUUCUUACGAACGAAAGCCACAUUACAGGCUUAAGAGAUAGACAACAUUGUUGAAAAGAACUCCCUUUAUGUUAACCUACU